rnacentral:rRNA from 1 species
AACGAACGCUGGCGGCAUGCCUAACACAUGCCAGUCGAACGAGACCUUCGGGUCUAGUGGCGCACGGGUGCGUAACGCGUGGGAAUCUGCCCUUGGGUUCGGAAUAACAGUUGGAAACGACUGCUAAUACCGGAUGAUGACGUAAGUCCAAAGAUUUAUCGCCCAAGGAUGAGCCCGCGUAGGAUUAGCUAGUUGGUGAGGUAAAGGCUCACCAAGGCGACGAUCCUUAGCUGGUCUGAGAGGAUGAUCAGCCACACUGGGACUGAGACACGGCCCAGACUCCUACGGGAGGCAGCAGUGGGGAAUAUUGGACAAUGGGCGAAAGCCUGAUCCAGAAAUGCCGCGUGAGUGAUGAAGGCCUUAGGGUUGUAAAGCUCUUUUACCCGGGAUGAUAAUGACAGUACCGGGAGAAUAAGCUCCGGCUAACUCCGUG